GAUGAAGAACGUAGCGAAAUGCGAUAAGUAAUGUGAAUUGCAGAAUUCAGUGAAUCAUCGAAUCUUUGAACGCACAUUGCGCCCGCCAGUAUUCUGGCGGGCAUGCCUGUUCGAGCGUCAUUUCAACCAUCAAGCCCCAGGCUUGUGUUGGGGACCUGCGGCUGCCGCAGGCCCUGAAAACCAGUGGCGGGCUCGCUGUCACACCGGGCGUAGUAGAUUUUAUCUCGCUCAGGGAGUGCUGCGGGUUCCGGCCGUUAAAAAGCCUUUUUUACCCAAGGUUGACCUCGGAUCAGGUAGGAAGACCCGCUGAACUUAAGCAUAUCAAUAAGCGGAGGA
rnacentral:misc_RNA from 1 species